rfam:Hordeum vulgare subsp. vulgare, WGS project CAJW01000000 data, contig: morex_contig_1576333
CAGUUACUCCCUUCGUCCCAAAAUUCUUGUCUUAAAUUUAUCUAGAGAUGGAUGUAUCUAAAUACUAAAACGUNNNUAGAUACAUUCAUAUCUAGAUAAAUCUAAGAUAAAAAAUUUAGGACGGAGGGAGUACCAG